rnacentral:rRNA from 1 species
AGCAGCCGCGGUAAUUCCAGCUCCAAUAGCGUAUAUUAAAGUUGCUGCAGUUAAAAAGCUCGUAGUUGAAUUUCGGGACCAUCAUGUCGGUCGUGCCUCGGUACGUACUGGCAUCGUUGGUUUCUCCCUUCUGACGAACCAUGAUGUCAUUAAUUUGGUGUCUUGGGGAAUCAGGACUGUUACUUUGAAAAAAUUAGAGUGUUUAAAGCAGGCUCACGCUUGAAUACAUUAGCAUGGAAUAAUGAAAUAGGACGUUUGAUUCUAUUUUGUUGGUUUCUAGGAUCGACGUAAUGAUUAAUAGGGAUAGUUGGGGGCAUUAGUAUUCAAUUGUCAGAGGUGAAAUUCUUGGAUUUAUUGAAGACUAACUACUGCGAAAGCAUUUGCCAAGGAUGUUUUCAUUAAUCAAGAACGAAAGUUAGGGGAUCGAAGACGAUCAGAUACCGUCGUAGUCUUAACCAUAAACUAUAGUCCGACUACGGGAGUCGGAUGAUGUUAAGUUUUUAAUUAGUACUCAUUCGGU